CAAUCUGACAGUAGAGUGGCGCGAAGGGUGACGUAACGCGUAAGUAACUUCGCCCCAAGGUAAGGAAUAACGUCGAGAAAUCGGCGACUAAUACCUCAUAAUGCAGCGGAUCCGCAUGGAUAUGUUGUUAAAGGUUUACCGCCUUGGGAUAGGCUUGCGUCUGAUUAGCUAGUUGGUGUGGUAACGGCACACCAAGGCUACGAUCAGUAACUGGUCUGAGAGGAUGAUCAGUCACACUGGAACUGAGACACGGUCCAGACUCCUACGGGAGGCAGCAGUGAGGAAUAUUGGGCAAUGCUCGAAAGAGUGACCCAGCAACGCCGCGUGGAGGAUGAAGGUAUUCUAUAUCGUAAACUCCUGUGAGAGCAGACGAAAGACAGAUUAUUAAUCUGGAUGACUGUAUGCUCAGAGGAAGCCCCGGCUAACUACGUG
rnacentral:rRNA from 1 species